CCUCACACCAGAUAAACAGAGACAGUUUAUUUUUUAUCACCAAUCUGAAAAACCAGGUCGGAGACACUAAAGCUAGUGAGUUACUCCCAUGCCAGUCUCUCCUAAUGACUCCUUGCAGAAAAGUGACUUCCCUUCAUGGACUUGUUUUGACUAGAAUUUGUGGAUGAUUAUAGCUCAAUUGUUCCUCAGUUGUGAGUCUAACUCACCCUCCGUGCAGACUCACAAACCCUUCAGUCAUGUGGUGGUUGAGUUACAGAUCGUGCCAGGUCAGUGUGUAAGCCAACAACCCUGACUGAGAGAAGAAUUCCUCAAGCACAUCACCAGUGGAAUGUGUGGGAAAAAAUACCAGUUUCCAGCAGCCGGAAUAAUAGUAAUGACAACGUGACCUUACUCUGAUUGGGAAAGUUCUUUCUCUAAUGAGCAAUGAAUUUGGCACUGCAGAAAGAGAACUCUCCUCUGUACAAUGCAUACUACCCUCUGGAGAAGUACUGCCAGGUCAUUUUGAAGCCAUCUAAACAGCCUUCAAAUGAAGAUUCUAUGCUGGAAUCUUUUGUAUCUCCAAGCAACCUGUCUGUCCCUCGUGCCAAGGUCACAGAGAUGCUCAGGGAGUGGGAGGAGCAGCACUACUUGCCAGAACAGAGAUUGCUCAGGUAAAAGCAACGUUCAUCGAAUAUGCAAAGAAACUUGAACAGGCAUUCAAGGCCAGGUUUCCUGAAAAGACUUGGUGAAAAGCAUGCUUUACUUGGACCCUUGCAACCAAAAGCCACCACUCUUAGAAAUUCAAAAACUUUCAGCAAAAUUUACCAAGCACAUUGACUUCAGCAAGGUUGAAAUGCAGUGUACAUUGUACUGCAAGGGUGAUGCGGUCAAGACACUUUUCAGCUUAGACCGCUGUGACAGUAAUGUUAUCAAAUUAUGGUGUCUUUUGUUUAAGUCAAGUGAGAGUGAAUACAGUGACCUGGCAAGGCUUUCACUUCUUUUACUGACACUGAGCCCUGACACAUGUUGUUGGUGCGAAUGAGGCUUCGGCCACAUGAACUCAAUCAAAACAUCCACAAAGAAUCGCCUGGAGAACUGUCGGGUUGAUGCCUGUCUACAUAUUGCAACUUCAGCAAUGAGCACAAAGGACUUCGAUGUAGUUGCGGUGGUGAGGUACAUUCAAAAACACUAAAUUUUCAGAAACUGGGCCAAAUUCUGUACAAGCCCCUUGGAUUCUAUGAUUCUGUGCGAUUGAAGAGAGGACAAGAGAGGACAGAAUAUGGGCCAAAGUUUGGGGCAUCAUGUCCGUGUUGUCCACAUGAUAUUCUGAAGGAAAGAGACAUUUGUCUCUCACAAAAGUGACUCUUGCAUGACAAACUUUCCAGUGCAAUGGAGUGAAACCUAGGGAUGAUAGACACUUAACACACGAUCCACCUGUGCUGCAACUGCCACGUGGAAAAUUCCCUGGUUGGGGAAAAGCUUGGAUCUUUUAAGGUGGAUCUAGAGACACAUCUAAGUACAUCUAAAAAAAGUAUGUCAGCGAAGCUAAAACUAACAGACACUAGUAGAUGGAAUUCGUGUAGGCAGCAAGCUUCAUCUGUCCUAACACACAGAAGUUUCCCUUGGAAAAGGUCUCCUUUCCUGUCUCUGAAACUGCUUAUAUGGAUAAAAGUCCUUUUAAUCUUUCCAGAGGGCAAGGGGAUACAUUCCUCCAUCACAUCUACUGAAUGGCCAAGAGAAUACUUCUGGAUUGGUUAAUGGCAUUUCUCUUUAGUAGAGUUCGGUGAUUAAAACU